AUGUCCUUUGCAAGCACACCUCAUUUCUUCACUUGGGUUGGUUUAUCAUUUUUCCUGGCUUUUUUCCUUAGUUUCUCUGGGGUUUCAUCCUUGGGCACACCAAAAGUUAAUGCCCAGCUUCCCCAAAAGGCUCAGUCUUCAUUUGUUUCUUACAUUUUCCUUUCAGAUUGUUGUUAUCUUCAUCUCCCUUUUGCUUAUAAUUUUCUUCCAAUUCUCCCAAAAUGUGCUUUGGGAAAACUGGAAUCGGUUCAUCAUUAUAGUUUAAAGCAUUGA